CCACAGCAGAAUGCACAAGCUCCUCAAGCCUACUUAGCCAAUGCUAAUCCUGCUCAGCAGGCACAGAAUUGGUACAUAGAUUCUGAAGCAACUCAUCAUGUCACUGCAUCUCCUCAGAACUUGAUGAAUGAAGUUCCAACCUCGGGCAAUGAGCAUGUUUUCCUUGGUAAUGGUCAAGGUUUGCCUAUUAUUUCCACUGGUUCAGCAAUUUUUCAGUCUCCAUUUGCCUCUAAUGUUAAAUUAACUCUAAAUAAUCUAUUGCAUGUUCCCCACAUAACUAAGAACUUAGUUAGUGUGAGUCAGUUUGUCAAAGAUAAUAAUGUCUUUUUUGAGUUUCACUCAUCUCAUUGUGUUGUCAAAUCUCAGGUUGAUGGUUCAAUACUCCCCAGAGGUGCUCUUAGCCAAGAUGGCCUCUAUGUCUU
rnacentral:lncRNA from 1 species